AACGGAGGGACGAGUGUUAUUCAUCAUGAUUGGGCGUAAAGGGUGUGUAGGUUGCUUUCUAAGUCCUAUAUUAAAGGUCAGGAAUGGUUCUGAAAGGUGUAGGAUACUGGAAAGCUAGAGUAUGUUAGAGGAUAUAGGGAAUUACAGUGUAGGGGUAAAAUCCGUUAAUAUUUGUAAAUACUGCCAUCUGGCGGAGGCGUGUAUCUGGUGCAUAACUGACGCUGAGACACGAAAGCAUGGGUAUCAAACAGG
rnacentral:rRNA from 1 species